rnacentral:lncRNA from 1 species
CAUCAUUGUAUUAAAAGAUUAAGAAGGACUAAACCAAAAAGGUCCACAUUAAAAAGACUGCAUCUGGUAUGACGACUACUGGCCAAAGGCAUUAGAGAUCUUUGUACAGGAGUUUUGUCAACAAUGAUUUUUUUUCUUCUCUAAAAACAAGUGCAUCUGAUUUUCUAUAGCAGAGAACAUGCAAAGGUAGCCCUUUAUGGUCUUGUCAUUUUACAAAAUUGCCCCU